rnacentral:rRNA from 1 species
GAUGAACGCUGACAGAAUGCUUAACACAUGCAAGUCCACUUGAAUUUGGGUUUUUAACUUAGGUUUGGGUGGCGGACGGGUGAGUAACGCGUAAAGAACUUGCCUCACAGCUAGGGACAACAUUUGGAAACGAAUGCUAAUACCUAAUAUUAUGAUAAUAGGGCAUCCUAUAAUUAUGAAAGCUAUAAGCGCUGUGAGAGAGCUUUGCGUCCCAUUAGCUAGUUGGAGAGGUAACGGCUCACCAAGGCGAUGAUGGGUAGCCGGCCUGAGAGGGUGAUCGGCCACAAGGGGACUGAGACACGGCCCUUACUCCUACGGGAGGCAGCAGUGGGGAAUAUUGGACAAUGGACCGAGAGUCUGAUCCAGCAAUCCUGUGUGCACGAUGAAGUUUUUCGGAAUGUAAAGUGCUUUCAGUUGGGAAGAAACAAAUGACGGUACCAACAGAAGAAGUGACGGCUAAAUACGUG